UGGCUCUCGCAUCGAUGAAGAACGCAGCGAAUUGCGAUAAGUAAUGUGAAUUGCAGAAUUCAGUGAAUCAUCGAAUCUUUGAACGCACCUUGCGCUCCCUGGUAUUCCGGGGAGCACACCUGUUCGAGUGUCGUGAAUACCUCAAGCUGGAUGCUUUAUUGCUAUCUGUUGCUUGGAUUUGGACUUUGCCGUCGGCCUUUACUGGUGACGGCUCGUCUUAAAUGCAUUAGCUGACCCAUGUUGUAUGUUCGGUUCUACUCAGCGUGAUAAUUAUCUGACCGCUGAGGACAUUUGCCUUGUGCAGAUGGCCAGAUGUGCCUUGGAUUGCUUCUAAUCUGUACGCCUUCACGGGCGACGACCAUUUUCAAUUUUGACCUCGAAUCAGGUGGGACUACCCGCUGA
rnacentral:misc_RNA from 1 species